CAGAUCACCACACGCAGACUAUUCAUUCCUUGCGAAACUGCAGAUGCUAGCUACUAUUUGAAGAUGACAUUGUUAAAAAAUGCAUAAGAUGGGGAUGGCAUGGUGAUGCUGCCGGUCAAGAAGUACCAUCCCGGAAUAAAUUUAAGAUCAACACGGUGAUUUGAGAAUGCAAACAAGCACAGCAGGAUGUUCCAUGUCCAUUGUUCUCUCCUUACCUGCCAAUGUUUCCUCCUGCCUUGCCAGCCACGCGUACCCUCACCUUUGUUCAUCAAUUCGUGUGCAGCACAUAUGGACCAACUGCUUUGUCGCAAGCAUCACAGGCCGCUAGACUAUGAAGAUGGCCUGCAUACAACUGUUUCAGAGCAGCGUCGAUCAUCCCAGAGAUCAACUGCAAAGCACCAAACAAAGCGUGCGUUAGGAAGUCAUGCUCGCUCAAGAACCAACAACACGAGCUGGACCUACUCGUGUGGUCACCCGGUUUAUCAACCAUGUGGACAAGAGAGCUACUAUCACUAAAAAAUAGAGCAAUUUCUUCGGUGAAGAAAAGAUGAAGAAAGGCAGGGUCUAUGCUUUAGUAUUCAGAUGCUCAUUAACCAGGCUACAUAUGGCUGUCUACCCCAUUUAGGCUAAUCAGCACAAGCCUUUUAGAGCUCUUUGUUCAUAUAACUAUCCCAAUAGAACUUCCGCCUGUAAUAUUCUUUUGCCCUUCUGUUAGAUGGCUUGCACCAUCCAUUGCCUCUGGCAUGUACCAUGCCUUUCAAAGACCAGUGAAGAACAACAUUAUGCUCCUCUAUUGCAUGGUGGCUUUUACUGCUGUCUAUGUAUAUAACUUUUGCCAACCAUGAAGAGUUGCUUAGAUGAUGAAGUUAUUUUCAAUACCGAUGGCACAUGCAUUAAUGAUUAUUCUACCUAUGUU